rnacentral:misc_RNA from 1 species
UGUCCCGCUUUCGCUCCCGAAACAUCUGGUCACCUUACGCAGUGUCUUUCAACCCGAACAGUCCUUCAUAUCUGACCAGUAAUUUUUAUGACAAAGAUUUUGUCUUUGUUAAAAGAUUAAAAUAUAGAAUGAGUUGUGCAUGUAAAAUAAAGUAGAUAACUAUAUUUCACAGUGACUGCCAGGAUUUUACUAUAAAGGAGAUCAUUCUAAACACACGUACACCCCUUCAAAGAAAAAAAAACCUAGGUGUGACCAUGCAGUGAAAGGUGAGAGCACGGACGCGUGUCGUGGCUACAAGUGGCACUGGGCAGCAGUCGUGUCAUCCCGUCCUCAGUGGCAACAAUUGUGAAAUGCUCCAUACCUAGUGUUUAGUGUCUUGACCUAAUUCUUAAUCUUGCCCAAACGGCAUGGCGGACUAAUCGGUUCACUGGAAGUCAUACAAGUGUGCUUUUUGUAAACAAAAUUAUCCUUUUAUUUGAAAGUGAGCCGUACGCUGUGCACUGGUCAUGUCGGACAUUCCGCAAAAGGAACUGGAUUACCACUAUUCUCCUAGUAGGUGGUCACACCGCAUGGGGCCUGCUGAAGUGCUGCAUUCUCAUUUGAAAACUGUCACUGAUGCCAGUCGUGAGGCCCAGUGGUGUCUGGCUGUAGAGUCAGGGAUCAGCUAUGGGAAUUCUGAAAAGCAGAAGUUAGAUAUCUACACACAGAAGAACACAAGUGGUGCUAAAAAGGGAGUGCCAUUCUUUGUCUACAUCCAUGGUGGUUACUGGCAGGAGAAGGUAAUGUGCCGAGAAAACUCCAGCUUCAUGGCUGUCCCUCUAGUAUCAGAAGGUGCCACUGUUGUUGCUGUUGGCUACGAGCUGUGUCCUGAUGUGUCAAUGGACGAAAUAGUUAAGGAGGUGAAACAAGCCAUGUACUAUAUACUGAAACUGGCCAAAGAACAGGGCUGCAGUGGUAUUUACCUGUGUGGUCAUUCUGCUGGAGCCCACCUAGCAGCACUCAUGUUGAUGACGUCCUUCUCAGAAUAUGAUGCAUUUGACAGCGAUUUGAUUAAAGGGGCAAUUCUAGUCAGUGGAAUCUAUGAUCUUCGCCCCCUGGUCAAGACAUCAGUCAAUGAAGCACUUCAUCUAACAGAGGAGGACGCAUGGCUCUUCAGUCCGGUCCAUUUUAUGCAUGAUAUCAAACAGCACAGCAGUGACCGUGACAUUCUUAUUGCCGUGGGCGAGUAUGACCCACCUGAAUUUCGGCGGCAGAGUGGCGAAUUUCAAAAGAAUUUGCGAGAUCUAGGGAUUCGAACCAGGUACCUUGACAUUCCAGACACAGAUCACUUUAAUGUUAUAGAAAAGCUGCAGCAAAAGAGCUACAUUUUAACUAAGGAAUGCAUCAGAUUGAUGAAGCUGUCAGGUCAUUGAGUUCCCACCCACUUCCUUCUGUGUCUUUGUGAGACACAGGUUUUGGGAUUUGGCCAGCCAGUUUGCGAAAUGAAAUGGGGCGAUCGGCCAAAGUCGGAAGAAAAAGAAUGAUAAAAAAACAAGUCAUAGAGGCAGGAUCAUCUUCGAAAAGCAGCAGAUGAGCGGAAAAUUAUCGUCACAGCAUAAGACACUGUCCUUGCUACCACGUGCAAGCCGCCAUCACACCGAAACCGAUAGAUGUGCCGCCUACUGGAGAGUCUUGUAUCAGCACAUUGAAUAUUGGCCAGGGAUUUCCCACCAGUUCGCGAACUGGCCAUCCAAAGUAGCAAAUACACCCAGUACAUCGGCCAAAGUGCGAAAUGGCCGGCCAAUUUGGGAACUGGCCAAACUUUAUGCUUUGGCCGUAACAUAUACAAUAAGUGUAUUGAUGUGGCCUGUGCUUAUGGUGUACUAUGCCUGUCAGAAUGUUUUAUGUAAACUGGAUGGUUUGCAUUGUAUGAUGGAAUGGGUAUUAUCUUUAAAUACUUAUUAGUACCAUCAGAUUAUCAAUAUUCACUGCCAAUUAUCAUUGGUGCUGUCUUCCUCUCUGCGCUUUCUUUUAUGAAGAUGUUUAUGCUUUACACUAACAUAGUGUCACAGUACUUAAGAGCAUUAUAUUUCUGUCACAGUACUUAAGAGCAUUAUAUUUCUGUCACAGUACUUAAGAGCAUUAUAUUUCUGUCACAGUACUUAAGAGCAUUAAGUAAAAGCCUUCCUUUGAUGUUAUGUAAAAACAUAUAAUCAGAAUCAUGCAACAUUUAAGCUAAAGGAUUUACUCUGUUAGACCUUUGAGAAGACUUAUCUCUUCACUUUUUUGCUGUGGUUUAUUAAGGAUAGUUACUUGGGUCUUUUAUUGAGAAUUUCUUGAUUUGAAGGACUCCAAGAAUUCAACAUUUUUGGUCAGUCCUAUUAAGCUUUUAUUUUUGUUUCCUUUUGUACCAACCAGAUAUAUAAACAGAAGUGCUUGGAUUAGAGAUGUGGUUAACCCAAACAGAUUUUAAGAAUGCUAUUUUGCUUUUAAACAGAGAUUUCAGUCCCAUGUGAGUGCCUUGAUCAGUAUGUCUUCCUGUUACAUAGCUUUAUGGUAAUAAUUUCUAUAAACUUCCUUUUGAUUAGAUUUUAAAGAAAGGUCUAAAUUCAUUAUCUUUUUGCCAAAGGAAAUGAUAUUUUCAUAAAUGUACACAAGCAUUUCAUAAGUAAUAUUAAUGAACAAUUCCCCUGUAACCAUUUUCAGGUGUAGAAUAAAGUUUUAUUUAGUUAAUAUC